UUCGCAAUGCCCGAAAGGGUGACGAAGCGACGCCGCGUGAGCGAAGAAGGCCUUAGGGUUGUAAAGCUCUGUCAGGGGUUAUGAAAUGUAAAUGGGCUAAUACCUCAUUUAUUUGACAAAGGCCCCAAAGGAAGCCACGGCUAACUCUGUGCCAGCAGCCGCGGUAAUACAGAGGUGGCAAGCGUUGUUCGGUAUUAUUGGGCGUAAAGAGCACGUAGGUUGUUUUGUAAGUCAGGUGUGAAAGCCUUCUGUUCAAAGGAAGAACGGCAUCUGAAACUGCAGAUCUUGAGUAUAGGAGGGGAGAGUGGAACUUCUGGUGGAGCGGUGAAAUGCGUAGAUAUCAGAAGGAACGUCGGCGGCGAAAGCGACUCUCUGGCCUAUUACUGACACUGAGGUGCGAAAGUUAGGGGAGCAAACGGGAUUGGAUACCCCGGUAGUCCUAACCGUAAACGAUGGGCACUAAGUAGAGGGGUUUU
rnacentral:rRNA from 1 species